CUACGGGGGGCACCAGUGGGGAAUAUUGGACAAUGGGCGAAAGCCUGAUCCAGCCAUGCCGCGUGGAUGAAGAAGGCCCUAGGGUUGUAAAAUCCUUUCGGUGGUGAAGAUAAUGACGGUAACCACACAAGAAGCCCCGGCUAAUUUCGUGCCAGCAGCCGCGGUAAUACGAAAGGGGCUAGCGUUGUUCGGAAUUACUGGGCGUAAAGCGCGCGUAGGCGGCCUGGUAAGUUGGGGGUGAAAUCCCGGGGCUCAACCCCGGAACUGCCUUCAAAACUACCAAGCUUGAGGCUGCGAGAGGUGAGCGGAAUUCCGAGUGUAGAGGUGAAAUUCGUAGAUAUUCGGAAGAACACCAGUGGCGAAGGCGGCUCACUGGAGCAGAUCUGACGCUGAGGCGCGAAAGCGUGGGGAGCAAACAGGAUUAGAUACCCUGGUAGUC
rnacentral:rRNA from 1 species